GGGCCUGUAGCUCAGCUGGCUAGAGCACCUGCUUUGCAAGCAGGGGGUCAGGAGUUCGAAUCUCCUCAGGUCCACCA
rnacentral:tRNA from 4 species